UGUGUACGUAUACAGGGCACCUUCCUUUCCAUCUCUUUUCAUUUUCUUUCUUCUCCUUUCUCUCUCUAAAACUGUAGAUGGCUGGUUUGAUGGGUUGGUUAGAGAAGUGGUGGAGUUGAUUGCUUUGGCUGUGAGGAAGAGUUCUUGUGUAGGAAACCAACUGUUAGAGCUUGCAACCUGAGGAUAUGUGAACCUGUGGCUGAUCUUUGGGUGACUCUUGAAGCUGGUUUUGGGUUGUGGUUUAUCCAUUCUAACUCAGGGAAAAGCUCAGUUGGAGCUGUUGGAAGGUUCGCAGCGGAUCAUUUGAUCUCUUUUGGCUGAGAUUUGGGAGCUUUCAAAGGUAGGUUUUGGUGUUCCAACCUGAACCAAAGUCGGGAUUCAAGCUUUAACACUAUACUAUGGUACUUGGAAGCUAGGGAAUAUCUUCGCUUGCGGAAUCGACGAGAGUCGUCAACUAAUUGAAGGUGAAGAAAGAGAAGGAUUUGGUGGAGAUUGAAGCCAAGAGGUGGGUCUUCAUCUUCAUUAUCAUCUUCUCCACCUUAAGGGCAAGCUUGAGAGGGCCGAGUACGUCUACACCGGGCGAGGACCGUGGCAAGGGCAUAACGCCCUAGUGGUAGUGGCUUUCCUUUUGCAUUAGCGUCACCCUAUGUAUAUGAGCGUAGUGAUGUAUAGGUUGUGAGAUGCUUUUGGAGAGUUGUGGAUGUACUUGUAUUUAUGUUUUGGAAGAUAUGAAUGUAAUCGAUGGUAUAAAUGAAGUAAAUGUGAUGUAAUAAUUUAGAA